AGAGACAGAUUGGAGCCUCCCGGACAGGCUGCAAAGCUGGGAUAACCAAGGAAGUGCAAAGCCUACCCUAGGUCAAUCAGAAGCCUGGCUGAUCAGCAGUGCUGCAGGAUCCUCCCACCAGUGUCUGGAAGGCUCCCAGGGAGAAGGCCACCCACCUUCAAACCCUCAUCAUCGGCCCAGAAACUGACACCAACGUGACCCUGAACGUCAGUGGCCAGAAAUCCCUGUGCCUAGAAGUCAAUCCCUGUAACACGGUCAAUCAGAUCAAGGAGCAGAUCAUGCAGGAGAGGAAGUUUGGUGGCUCAGGAUCCAUCAGGCUGCUGUAUGGGAACCAGGAACUGCAGGGCCUAAAGACCCUGGGCCAGCAUGGAGUGAAGAGCUCAGCUACCCUGUUCAACAUCCACAAAAUGCCCUGGGGGAUAAGCCACCACAGCGUGUUAAAGGCAACAUGGGAGAGAGCAGUUGAUGAAAUUAAAGCAAAUUGCUUAAAUUAAUCUUAAAUGCUUAAAUUAAUCUGUGUUCUGAUCUUAGCACCAGUGAUUGUGCUUAGUUUUAGAAGUUGAGCAGCUGUGUGAGCAUUAAAAGACACAGACAAUGAAUAAAGGAUUUUUAAAGGGG